rfam:Candida albicans SC5314 chromosome R sequence.
GUCAUGAUGUCCGAGUGGUUAAGGAGUUGCCCUGCUAUAUUCCCGAUUUCAGUCAGGAAAGCAGUUUGUUAGGCAAUGGGCUCUGCCUUCGCAGGUUCGAAUCCUGUUCAUGACG